rnacentral:rRNA from 1 species
GACGAACGCUGGCGGCGUGCUUAACACAUGCAAGUCGAGCGGUAAGGCCCUUUCGGGGGUACACGAGCGGCGAACGGGUGAGUAACACGUGGGUGACCUGCCCUCAGCUCUGGGAUAAGCCUGGGAAACUGGGUCUAAUACCGGAUAUGACUCCAUGACGCAUGUUGUGGGGUGGAAAGCCUUGUGCGGCUGAGGAUGGGCCCGCGGCCUAUCAGCUUGUUGGUGGGGGGAUGG